GCCGUGGCGGCGUGCCUACACAUGCAAGUUCGAACGAAGCGUGCGGAUGGAAUUUCCUUCGGAGAAGGAAGCCUGCAUGACUGAGUGGCGGACGGGUGAGUAACGCGUGGGCAACCUGCCCUGCACAGGGGGACAACAGCCGGAAACGGCUGCUAAUACCGCAUAAGCGCACAGCUUCGCAUGGAGCGGUGUGAAAAGCUGCGGCGGUGCAGGAUGGGCCCGCGUCUGAUUAGCUGGUUGGCGGGGCAACGGCCCACCAAGGCGACGAUCAGUAGCCGGCCUGAGAGGGUGGACGGCCACAUUGGGACUGAGACACGGCCCAGACUCCUACGGGAGGCAGCAGUGGGGAAUAUUGCACAAUGGGGGAAACCCUGAUGCAGCGACGCCGCGUGAGCGAAGAAGUAUUUCGGUAUGUAAAGCUCUAUCAGCAGGGAAGAAAUUGACGGUACCUGAGUAAGAAGCUCCGGCUAAAUACGUGCCAGCAGCCGCGGUAAUACGUAUGGAGCAAGCGUUAUCCGGAUUUACUGGGUGUAAAGGGAGCGUAGGCGGCCUGUCAAGUCUGAUGUGAAAUACCGGGGCUCAACCCCGGGGCUGCAUUGGAAACUGGCAGGCUGGAGUGUCGGAGAGGCAGGCGGAAUUCCUAGUGUAGC
rnacentral:rRNA from 1 species